GACUACAGGGGUAUCUAAUCCUGUUUGCUACCCACGCUUUCGCUCCUCAGCGUCAGUUCCGGCCCAGAGCGCCGCCUUCGCCGCUGGUGUUCCUCCUGAUAUCUGCGCAUUUCACCGCUACACCAGGAAUUCCACGCUCCCCUACCGGACUCUAGCCACGACAGUAUCGGGUGGUGCCCCAGGUUGAGCCUGAGGAUUUGACACCCGACUUAUCGAGCCGCCUACGAGCUCUUUACGCCCAAUAAAUCCGGACAACGCUUGCCCCCUACGUGUUACCGCGGCUGCUGGCACGUAGUUAGCCGGGGCUUCUUCUGCAGGUACCGUCUUGAUUCGUCCCUGCUGAAAGGGGUUUACAACCCGAAAGCCUUCAUCCCCCACGCGGCGUUGCUGCGUCAGGCUUUCGCCCAUUGCGCAAGAUUCCCCACUGCAGCCUCCCGUAGG
rnacentral:rRNA from 1 species